GUGUUUGCUUCAGUAACACAUACACUAAAAUUGGAAUGAUACAGAAAUUGGCACAGCCCUUGCACAAGGAUGACAUGCAAAUUCUUUUUUUUUUUU
ensembl:snRNA U6 U6 spliceosomal RNA